CUUUAUUGGAGAGUUUGAUCCUGGCUCAGGACGAACGCUGGCGGCGUGCCUAAUACAUGCAAGUCGAGCGAGUCUCUUUGGAGGCUAGCGGCGGACGGGUGAGUAACACGUAGGCAACCUGCCUCUCAGACUGGGAUAACAUAGGGAAACUUAUGCUAAUACCGGAUAGGUUUU
rnacentral:rRNA from 1 species